UGGGGAAUAUUGGACAAUGGGGGCAACCCUGAUCCAGCCAUGCCGCGUGUGUGAAGAAGGCCUUUUGGUUGUAAAGCACUUUAAGCAGGGAGGAGAGGCUAAUGGUUAAUACCCAUUAGAUUAGACGUUACCUGCAGAAUAAGCACCGGCUAACUCUGUGCCAGCAGCCGCGGUAAUACAGAGGGUGCGAGCGUUAAUCGGAAUUACUGGGCGUAAAGCGAGUGUAGAUGGCUCAUUAAAGUCACAUGUGAAAUCCCCGGGCUUAACCUGGGAACUGCAUGUGAUACUGGUGGUGCUAGAAAUAUGUGAGAGGGAAGUAGAAUUCCCAGGUGUAGCGGUGAAAUGCGUAGAGAUCUGGAGGAACACCGAUGGCG
rnacentral:rRNA from 1 species